rnacentral:rRNA from 1 species
UACGUAGGGGGCAAGCGUUGGUCCGGAAUUCAAUUGGGCGGUAAAGAAGCGUGUAGGCGGCUUGGCAAGUCUCGCGUGAAAUCCUGCGGCUCAACCGCAGGCGGUCGCGGGAAACUGCCUCGCUAGAGUCCGGAAGAGGAGAGUGGAAUUCCUGGUGUAGCGGUGGAAUGCGCAGAUAUCAGGAAGAACACCCGUGGCGAAGGCGGCUCUCUGGGACGGUACUGACGCUGAGACGCGAAAGCGUGGGGAGCGAACAGG